UACGGGGGGGUAAGCGUUGUUCGGAAUUACUGGGCGUAAAGGGCUCGUAGGCGGCCAACUAAGUCGGACGUGAAAUCCCUCAGCUUAACUGGGGAACUGCGUCCGAUACUGGAUGGCUUGGAUUUGGGAGAGGGAUGCGGAAUUCCAGGUGUAGCGGUGAAAUGCGUAGAUAUCUGGAGGAACACCGGUGGCGAAGGCGGCAUCCUGGACCAAUAUUGACGCUGAGGAGCGAAAGCUAGGGGAGCAAA
rnacentral:rRNA from 1 species